rnacentral:rRNA from 1 species
AGCAGUGGGNAAUAUUGCACAAUGGGCGCAANCCUGAUGCAGCGACGCCGCGUGAGGGAUGACGNNNUUCGGGUUGUAAACCUCUUUNAGCAGGGAAGAAGCGCAAGUGNCGGUACCUGCAGAAGAAGCNCCGGCUAACUACGUNCCAGCAGCCGCGGUAAUACGUAGGGUGCGAGCGUUGUCCGGAAUUAUUGGGCGUAAAGAGCUNGUAGGCGGCUUNUCGCGUCGGAUGUGAAAGCCCGGGGCUUAACCCCGGGUNUGCAUUCGAUACGGGCAGGCUAGAGUUCGNCAGGGGAGAUUGGAAUUCCUGGUGUAGCGGUNAAAUGCGCAGAUAUCAGGAGGAACACCGGUGGCGAAGGCGG